rnacentral:rRNA from 1 species
GAUGAACGCUGGCGGCGUGCCUAAUACAUGCAAGUCGAGCGAACAGACGAGGAGCUUGCUCCUCUGACGUUAGCGGCGGACGGGUGAGUAACACGUGGAUAACCUACCUAUAAGACUGGGAUAACUUCGGGAAACCGGGGCUAAUACCGGAUAAUAUAUUGAACCGCAUGGUUCAAUAGUGAAAGACGGUUUUGCUGUCACUUAUAGAUGGAUCCGCGCCGCAUUAGCUAGUUGGUAAGGUAACAGCUUACCAAGGCAACGAUGCGUAGCCGACCUGAGAGGGUGAUCGGCCACACUGGAACUGAGACACGGUCCAGACUCCUACGGGAGGCAGCAGUAGGGAAUCUUCCGCAAUGGGCGAAAGCCUGACGGAGCAACGCCGCGUGAGUGAUGAAGGUCUUCGGAUCGUAAAACUCUGUUAUUAGGGAAGAACAAAUGUGUAAGUAACUAUGCACGUCUUGACGGUACCUAAUCAGAAAGCCACGGCUAACUACGUG